GCUUUCGCCUGUGACGAAGCGUGAGUGACGGUAAUGGGUAAAGAAGCACCGGCUAACUACGUGCCAGCAGCCGCGGUGAUACGUAGGGUGCGAGCGUUGUCCGGAUUUAUUGGGCGUAAAGGGCUCGUAGGUGGUUGAUCGCGUCGGAAGUGUAAUCUUGGGGCUUAACCCUGAGCGUGCUUUCGAUACGGGUUGACUUGAGGAAGGUAGGGGAGAAUGGAAUUCCUGGUGGAGCGGUGGAAUGCGCAGAUAUCAGGAGGAACACCAGUGGCGAAGGCGGUUCUCUGGGCCUUUCCUGACGCUGAGGAGCGAAAGCGUGGGGAGCGAACAGGCUUAGAUACCCUGGUAGUCCACGCUGUAAACGGUGGGUACUAGGUGUGGGGUCCAUUCCACGGGUUCCGUGCCGUAGCUAACGCUUUAAGUACCCCGCCUGGGGAGUACGGCCGCAAGGCUAAAACUCAAAGG
rnacentral:rRNA from 1 species